GGGCCCAUAGCUCAAUGGUAGAGCAACAGCCUUUUAAGCUGGGACGAAGGUUCGAUUCCUUCUGGGCCCACCA
rnacentral:tRNA from 1 species